rnacentral:rRNA from 1 species
UUUUACAAUGGAGAGUUUGAUCCUGGCUCAGGAUGAACGCUAGCUACAGGCUUAACACAUGCAAGUCGAGGGGAAACGGCAUUGAGUGCUUGCACUCUUUGGACGUCGACCGGCGCACGGGUGAGUAACGCGUAUCCAACCUUCCCAUUACUGUGGGAUAACCUGCCGAAAGGCAGACUAAUACCGCAUAGUCUUCGAUGACGGCAUCAGAUUUGAAGUAAAGAUUUAUCGGUAAUGGAUGGGGAUGCGUCUGAUUAGCUUGUUGGCGGGGUAACGGCCCACCAAGGCUACGAUCAGUAGGGGUUCUGAGAGGAAGGUCCCCCACAUUGGAACUGAGACACGGUCCAAACUCCUACGGGAGGCAGCAGUGAGGAAUAUUGGUCAAUGGACGGAAGUCUGAACCAGCCAAGUAGCGUGCAGGAUGACGGCCCUAUGGGUUGUAAACUGCUUUUGUAUGGGGAUAAAGUUAGGGACGUGUCCCUAUUUGCAGGUACCAUACGAAUAAGGACCGGCUAAUUCCGUGCCAGCAGCCGCGGUAAUACGGAAGGUCCAGGCGUUAUCCGGAUUUAUUGGGUUUAAAGGGAGCGUAGGCUGGAGAUUAAGUGUGUUGUGAAAUGUAGACGCUCAACGUCUGAAUUGCAGCGCAUACUGGUUUCCUUGAGUACGCACAACGUUGGCGGAAUUCGUCGUGUAGCGGUGAAAUGCUUAGAUAUGACGAAGAACUCCGAUUGCGAAGGCAGCUGACGGGAGCGCAACUGACGCUUAAGCUCGAAGGUGCGGGUAUCAAACAGGAUUAGAUACCCUGGUAGUCCGCACAGUAAACGAUGGAUGCCCGCUGUUGGUACCUGGUAUCAGCGGCUAAGCGAAAGCAUUAAGCAUCCCACCUGGGGAGUACGCCGGCAACGGUGAAACUCAAAGGAAUUGACGGGGGCC